rnacentral:misc_RNA from 1 species
UCAAACUUGGUCAUUUAGAGGAAGUAAAAGUCGUAACAAGGUUUCCGUAGGUGAACCUGCGGAAGGAUCAUUAACGUGUCUCUGGCGGUGCGUGGCGUGCCCUGCUCCGGCCUUUGGGCCGUGCAGCGGGUGACCCGUACCGUCCAACCUUCACAAACCCACCGUGCACGUUUGCGGCAGAGGGCCUUUGGGUGAGAGCCCGUUGGCCCGAAGCCGCCUCACUUAGACCCCAAUUCUAUCGAAUGAACGCGGCCUCUGCGUCGCCUAACAAACGAAACAACUUUCAACAACGGAUCUCUUGGCUCUCGCAUCGAUGAAGAACGCAGC